AAGACCAGUCAAUGAUUGCUGUCAAGAAAAUUGUUGAUGAAUUUGACAAAUUCAAUGGUACUGUCUAUCACAUGAUUGGAAAUCACUGCCUUUACAAUCUUCCUCGAAAAGACUUGCUUCCAUUGCUGAGAAUCCCUGGCCAUGAUGAUCAUGCCUAUUUUGAUUUUUCUCCAAUUCCGGAGUACAGAUUUGUAAUCCUAGAUGCUUAUGAUAUCAGUGCCAUUGGUUGGCCGGAAGAUCACCCAAAUACUUUGAAGGCCUUGAAAGUUCUUCAGGAGAAAAACCCAAAUUCAGACAAAAACAGUCCAAGUGGACUUGUGGGACCGGCAAGAAGGUUUCUCAUGUUCAAUGGAGGUGUUGGGAAAGAACAAUUGGAAUGGCUGGAUCAUGUCCUUCAGGAAGCUACCAAGUUGAAUCAAAAUGUAAUAGUGUGUUGCCAUUUGCCUUUGGAUCCUGGAGCUUCAUCUCUUGCAGCAUUGUUGUGGAACUAUGAUGAAGUGAUGGAUGUGAUUCAUCGCUAUAGCUGUGUGAAGGUCUGUAUGGGUGGACACGACCAUAAAGGUGGACAAUCAGUCGACUCCCAUGGUGUACAUCAUCGCGUCCUUGAAGCAGCUCUUGAGUGCCCUCCUGGUACUGAUUCUUUCGGACAUAUUGAUGCUUUUGAUGAUAGAUUAUUACUUUUUGGUACUGAU
rnacentral:misc_RNA from 1 species